AGCGACAGAAGAAGCACCGGCUAACUCCGUGCCAGCAGCCGCGGUAAUACGGAGGGUGCGAGCGUUAAUCGGAAUUACUGGGCGUAAAGGGCACGCAGGCGGUUAAUUAAGUUGGAUGUGAAAUCCCCGGGCUUAACCUGGGAAUGGCAUUCAAGACUGGUUAGCUAGAGUCUUGUAGAGGGGGGUAGAAUUCCAUGUGUAGCGGUGAAAUGCGUAAAGAUGUGGAGGAAUACCGGUGGCGAAGGCGGCCCCCUGGACAAAGACUGACGCUCAUGUGCGAAAGCGUGGGGAGCAAACAGGAUUAGAUACCCUGGUAGUCCACGCUGUAAACGAUGUCGAUUUGGAGGUUGUGGUCAUGAACUGUGGCCUCCGGAG
rnacentral:rRNA from 1 species